UACGUAGGGGGCAAGCGUUGUCCGGAUUUAUUGGGCGUAAAGAGCGUGUAGGCGGCCAGACAGGUCCGUUGUGAAAACUCGAGGCUCAACCUCGAGAUGUCGAUGGAAACCGUCUGGCUAGAGUCCGGAAGAGGAGUGUGGAAUUCCUGGUGUAGCGGUGAAAUGCGUAGAUAUCUGGAGGAACACCGGUGGCGAAGGCGGCAUCCUGGACCGAGAUUGACGCUGAGGCGCGAAAGCCAGGGGAGCAAACGGG
rnacentral:rRNA from 1 species